GUCCAGGAUAGCUGGGAGGAGGGGGAAGCUUCUCGGUAGAUGAAUUGACACUUGAAGCCUCGCUUUGCUUCUGUGGGGCAGGCACUCCAGGCAGCUUACGAGGUUCCUCGGGUGUCCUCUUUUCUCCAGAGUUUUGAGACAAAGACAUUGCUGCUACGGCAGACGCUACCGAUCCUGCUCUUUUUUCCACAGAGCUCUUCCGCUUGGGCAAGGGAAGGGGUACUGAGGACUCAACAGGUUGAGCAGCUGGAGCAGUUACAGGACUAGCGGGACCGUCCUGUAAAUGGAUAUUUGCGUGAACCCAAUCCAAAGCACUCCUUUCAACUACGCCCUCAUCAACAAGGAAUUGGAAGUCGUUGUAGAUUCCACGAAUAACAUGAUUCAGGUAGUUUUUAU